rnacentral:rRNA from 1 species
UACGGGGGGGGGUAAGCGUUGUUCGGAAUUACUGGGCGUAAAGGGCUCGUAGGCGGCCAACUAAGUCGGACGUGAAAUCCCUCAGCUUAACUGGGGAACUGCGUCCGAUACUGGAUGGCUUGGAUUUGGGAGAGGGAUGCGGAAUUCCAGGUGUAGCGGUGAAAUGCGUAGAUAUCUGGGAGGAACACCGGUGGCGAAGGCGGCAUCCUGGACCAAUAUUGACGCUGAGGAGCGAAAGCCAGGGGAGCAAAGCGGG